AUACGGAGGGUGCAAGCGUUGUUCGGAAUUAUUGGGCGUAAAGCGCGCGCAGGCGGCUUGCCAAGUCUGAUGUGAAAGCCCGGGGCUCAACCUCGGAACUGCAUUGGAAACUGGUAGGCUUGAGUAUGAGAGGGGUUUGUGGAAUUCCUGGUGUAGGGGUGAAAUCCGUAGAUAUCAGGAGGAACACCGGUGGCGAAGGCGACAAACUGGAUCACUACUGACGCUGAGGUGCGAAAGCGUGGGGAGCAAACAGGAUUAGAAACCCCUGUAGUCC
rnacentral:rRNA from 1 species